rnacentral:tRNA from 1 species
GCCGUGGUGCCGAGAGUAUGCAGGCCUCUCAAGCCUGUGGCCCGGGUUCAAAUCCCGGUCGCGGCA